CGCUGACACAGGCAAACCUGACGAAAGUCAGGGACGCAAAGCCACCGGGCUUCGGCACUGAUCGCACAGUGCCAUGCCAGCGGGGUUGCCGGA
rnacentral:ncRNA from 1 species